AACGCGGAAAAUUAAUUCAUUUGCCGGCUAAGUAUUUGGGUUAAAAACAUAAAAAAAUCAAAGGGGCUAAGAAAUUUUUGUUCUCCCCCUCAAUGGCUCAAUCCAUUGUUUCACUUAAGUUUAUUUUUCUUACUAUCUCUGUUUAUCUUCUCAAAACAACCUUUCAACUCUUGUUAACUCUUUCAUUACCAGUUCACCAGAUUUAGAAUCAAGUUUCUCCCCCCCUCCCCAACAAAAUCCCUAACCUAGAUUCAAAGCCACAUGAGUCUUCUUCCUCUUAUCCACCGAGCAAAACCCUAGUUACAGCUUCUUCAUUAAAUACAGAUCUGUAUCAUGUUGUUGCCCUCCUAUUCACUCUCCGUUUCGAAAUCAAACCAUAGCCAACGUUGAUGCAAGCGAGAUAGAGAUUCACUCAAGGGGUAUGAGAAAUUGAAUCGACAAGGUUCACGGUGGCUAGAUUAAUGGAUCUAGACAGAGUAACUAAGAGGUGUCUCAGAUGAAGUGUUACAGGCUGGUUACGCCGGAGUAAUACAAGCUCCAUGGUACGUAUUAGUGUAGAUUUGCAUUAGUCUCUCGUAAUUCCGAUGUGUUCAUAAGGUUAUUGGGGCGGUAAGUGGUUUAAAGAACUCAACGGUGAGCUCGAUCUCCUUCGUGUCGCCGAAGUGUUCGGUACUCAAAACAAGUGUUUCUAUGUUAACAUGGGAAAGUGACGUCUGUCUCAACAAGCUAGUCUCUGGCGAAGUUAUUUGUGACCACAAAAGGUUUUACGACACCGUUGGUUUGAUUCGUUUGAAGUAAGAAGACAUGUGCUGAGUGAAGCCUGAUAAUUUGAAGUGAUUACAAGUCAUGGUGAAGAUGGAAACAUGUAAAGUUUGUAAAAAGUUGUUGCUUGCGUUUAUUUGAACUUAUGCGUGUGUCUUUGUGACAAUUAAUAACGUGUUUUGAUAUA